UCGUGGAUCAGCAUGCCACGGUGAAUACGUUCCCGGGUCUUGUACACACCGCCCGUCACACCAUGGGAGCUGGUAACACCCGAAGUCAGUAGUCUAACCGCAAGGAGGACGCUGCCGAAGGUGGGAUUAGCGACUGGGGUGAAGUCGUAACAAGGUAGC
rnacentral:rRNA from 1 species